CAGCCGCCGCGGGAAUACGGAGGGGGCUAGCGUUGUUCGGAAUUACUGGGCGUAAAGUGCACGUAGGCGGCUUGGUAAGUUAGAGGUGAAAGCCUGGAGCUCAACUCCAGAAUUGCCUUUAAGACUGCCGAGCUAGCAGGUGAGAGAGGUAAGUGGAAUUCCGAGUGUAGAGGUGAAAUUCGUAGAUAUUCGGAAGAACACCAGUGGCGAAGGCGGCCCCCUGGACAAAGACUGACGCUCAGGUGCGAAAGCGUGGGGAGCAAACAGGAUUAGAUACCCCCGUAGUCCCUGUCUCUUAUAC
rnacentral:rRNA from 1 species